UCAGACUCCAGGGGGAGCCCGGCAACGGGCUGAGAAAUCGCAAGCGCAAGCGGCGCGAUGACCCUUAACACCUGAUCCGGAUAAUGCCGGCGAAGGGAUGGGGCAAUUUACCUGA
rfam:Triticum urartu cultivar G1812 contig37317, whole genome shotgun sequence.